rnacentral:rRNA from 1 species
AGUGAACGCUGGCGGCAGGCCUAACACAUGCAAGUCGAGCGGCAGCGGGUCCCCGCGAGGGAUGCCGGCGAGCGGCGGACGGGUGAGGAACACAUCGGAAUCUGCCUGGUUGUGGGGGAUAACGUAGGGAAACUUACGCUAAUACCGCAUGCGACCCUGAGUCGACGGACUGGGGGGUGAAAGUGAGGGACCUUCGGGCCUCACGCGACCAGAUGAGCCGAUGUCGGANAGCUAGUUGGCGGGGUAACGGCCCGCCAAGGCGACGAUCCGUAGCUGGUCUGAGAGGAUGAUCAGCCACACUGGGACUGAGACACGGCCCAGACUCCUACGGGAGGCAGCAGUGGGGAAUAUUGCGCAAUGGGCGAAAGCCUGACGCAGCGACGCCGC